rnacentral:lncRNA from 1 species
UGCCUCUAACAGACAAGAAGUUUUGGCUUGUUUUCUCUGAGUUUCGGGCCAUAGUAGCAAAGACAGAAAAAUGGCACCUCCUGUUACCAGUUCUCAGCCCCAGUAUCCUCUGUGAGACAUGCCAGGGAUCCAAAAUUUAGUAUCACUGAUUGAAAGAAACUAUGGACCCAUGGUCUGGGGAUUCUGGAGAGAAAAUAUCUGUGGUGAAGAACACUUCUCCUUUCAGUGAAAUUCACCAGGGCUUUGGUUAAGAAUCAUCCUGGUUGUCAUGUGGAGUCAAGAGUGGAAUGCUGAGGGUCGAGAACAAAGGCAGGAAGAAGAAAGAAGAAAUUAACUUUUACUUCCCAAGAUGAUUGUGAAGAUUAAAAGAAAAAAUGGGGUGAAGAUACCUUGUCACAUUUGGAUUUAAUAAAUUCAGGGAAUGAGCUACUGACUUGGGCAUUGCCGAUCAUACCCCAUCAUGAAACGUUCUCUCUUCCUUUCCAUGAGCCUGCUCAAUAUUAUUUCUAAGGGAAC